rnacentral:rRNA from 1 species
UGCGUAGAGAUCUGAAGGAAUACCGGUGGCGAAGGCGGCCCCCUGGACAAAGACUGACGCUCAGAUGCGAAAGCGUGGGGAGCAAACAGGAUUAGAUACCCUGGUAGUCCACGCUGUAAACGAUGUCUACUUGGAGGUUGCGGUCUUGAACUGUGGCUUUCGGAGCUAACGCGUUAAGUAGACCGCCUGGGGAGUACGGUCGCAAGAUUAAAAC